GCCACAUAACUUUUCGCAGCACUUGUGGUUGCCGAUUCGGCCGCCACAAACUUGAGACCCGCCACACUUCUCUAGGGCGCCAGCGCCGGCCCUAGCACCUCCACUGCAACUCCCUUGAUACUUGGACCACCGGAUCUGAUGCUGGCUGUCGACUGCCAUUAGAAGGUGAGCUCGUUCCCAAUCUGCAUGAUGCGCCUCCUCGCCUGUGUUUCGUCCUUCAGUUCACCUAUUGCGGGCUCGCCUGGUCGGUGGUUGCCGGCGCUAGCAUCAGACUGCGUGCCGAAUCAGCUCAGCAGAGGGAUCGAGCGUCGUAGUGCCUUCUUGUCGUAGUUGUCUUCUGACGCCUUGUCCUAGAUCUGGCCGGUUGCCAUGGACGUGUUUGUAGAAUGCUGGAAUAGGGACAGAGAGCAGUUGCAGCUUGUCCCCAGUCUUUCUCAGAUCAGGGGCUUAGGUAGUCCGGCCACAUAUCAGUAUUUGGCAUUUGAUAAAUCGAGUACUAUUUCAUAUUUGCUUUUAUUUCAAUUGCUGCAGCUAGACAACAUGAUUUUUACCUUGCUGCAAUAGAUUUCUAGUUAGAGUAUAGCAUAUUCAGUAGGAGACCAUCAUUAAUAUUUUCUUCAUCUUUUUCAAGGACUUGUUGCAAGCUGAGGGCACCAGGAGACCCUUGUUUGCUACUGCUCAAGGUACGUGAGCACAAACAGUUAGAUUGCAUUUUUCUAGAUUGGUUCAAACAAUUCCUAAAUCCAUUAAUCUGUCGAGUGUGUAAAGAAAAUGGAGCCCGAACCAUUUGGCUAAUUGAGUUUUCGUGUUUGAUGAACAACACAAUCCGUGAACUAAUAAGUUAUCUAGUGUUUAUGUUUGUAGUUCACAGGAUGCGUUGAGGAUUGGACCAAGGAAAUGAGGAUGCAACACCUCAAAAGAAGUCAUAAAAAGAUGCAUAGAAGUCCAAGACUCAAGAACAAAAGAAGCCCAAAGAAAUCAGCGAAGAAACCUGAGAAGAGGGCUGUCAGCCAGCGACUGGUGACGCACCGGACAGUGCAUAGUACCUGUCCGGUGUGCACCGGACUGUCCGGUGGGACAACCGGACAGUCUGCGCAGAGAGGCCGAAGUCAGGCGCUCUCGGGCUGUAGCACCGGACUGUCCGGUGUGCGGCAACGGUCAGAUCCAACGGUGGACUGCUACAGCUGCCAACGGUCGGCUGACGUGGCGUGCACCGGACACUCCACAGUAGCUGUCCGGUGGUGCACCGGACUGUCCGGUGCACCCGACGACAGAAAGUUGCUGCUUUCUGUCCAACGGCUAGUUUGGGGUGUGGAGGCUAAUACCACCCCAACCGGCCAUUCUCUAGUGUGGGAGCCCAAGCAACAUACCAAGACACAUAGUGCAUAUUUCCAAGAGUUCAAACACCCAAGUGCUUAAUAGAAUCACUCGGUGAUUAGUGUAGGUGCUUUUGCGAAGUGCUUAGGCUAGUUAGACCGCUCUAGCGCUUGCUAUAGGUGAACCCUAGAUUGUUGAGUGAGUUUAGACAAACCUCACAACCCCUCGGCUCUUGCGUGAGCCGUAGUAAUUGUACCGAGUGGGGCGAGAGUCUUGCGAGACCGUGACAACCGCGUUUGUGUCACGGCCGCCACCGUGUACCGGAGGGAACGAGGCCCGCGGCGUUUCGGCCGGAAGCUCGUUAGUGGAGACGGCGGGGAGCGUCCGAGAGGAGCCGAAAGCGGAGCACCACUUGCGCGUGGAGAAGGCCCGUGUCUCUCUACGGAGUUACUCGACCGAGGUGCUUGGCCCUCGCGUGGGCUUCCCUUUGCGUAGGGGCACCAACGAGGAUUAGUCAGGACCUUGCGCAGUUCCGGAUACCUCGGUAAAAAUACAGGUGUCAUCCACGAGAGUUUGCUUCUCUACUUUGCUCUUUAAGUUUUCGCAUUUAUAUUAAGCAUUUAAGUUUCAAUCUUGUAUACAUACUUAUUUAGUGUAGAUUGAAACUUAGCCAUUGCGGUAGAGAUAGCAACACUUAGACAAAACCUAGUUUGCACAUUCUAUUUUGAUUAUUUGCAUAGGUUUUGCUCUAGGGAUUUAAUUGUGGCCUAGUUUAGUAAAAGUUUUAGAAGUCCUAAUUCACCCCCCUCUUAGGCGUCACCCGUUUCCUACAAGUGGUAUCAGAGCCUGGUUUGGCUCAUUUGAAACGCUUUAGCUUCACCGCUAAAAGAGCCGACGCUUUUUAGAGGAAGGGAUGCAUACCCAUAGGCCACCACACUUCGACGACACUAACUUCCCAUAUUAUAGUGCUAGAAUGGCUUGUUACUAGAGGUCGUUGAUCUAGGUGUUUGGAGAGUCACUCGUGACGGGAUGAAACCCUCCAAGAAUCCCGAGAAACCCACCACGAGUGAGGAAAAAGAAAUUCAUUUAAAUGCUAGAGCCAAAAAUUGCUUGUAUGAAUCUCUUAGCAUGGACAUUUUUAAUCAAGUAUUUACUUUGAAAACUGCUAAUGAGAUUUGGCUAAAAUUGCAUGAGCUCCUUGACGGCACAUCCAAUGUCCGUGAGCAAAAACAUUGCCUAGUCUUAAAUGAAUAUAAUACUUUUGCUAUGAGAGAUGAUGAGCUUGUUAGAGACAUGUAUUCUCGUUUAAAUCUAAUUAUCAAUGAGCUCAACUCUAUUGGCAUUAAUAAGCUAGGUGAUGCGAACAUUGUGAGGAAGAUUAUCUCCCUGCUACCACAAUGAAGAUAUGGGAGCAUCAUCACCAUCCUUCACAACAUGGAGGACUUGAGCAACAUGACCCCGACCAUUGUGAUUGGGAAAAUCGCGGCUUUUGAGAUGUCGCGAAAAAUGUGUCGGGGAGAGGAGCCAACUUCCUCAAGGCCAUUUGCUUUUGCAUGUGAUGAAAGGAAGGGCAAAAAGAAGGCUCCCACUCCAAGUUCCUCAAGUGAAGAAGAGGAAAAAGAAGAAAGUGAUGAUGAUGAAGAUAAUCAACCAUGCACAUCAUCCUCCAAGGACGAAGAAACAAUCUGACGCGUCGGAAAGGUAAUGGGGAUGAUCCGCAAGAUUAAUCUAAUGGGUGUGCCCCUGCAGGUCGAAGAUCUUCUCUUUAAUAUUGACAGGAAAAAGCAAAGGAAGAGAGGAUGCUUCGCAUGUGGGGAGAAGGGCCACUUCAGGGACAACUGUCCAAAUAUGGCCGAACCCAAGAAGGGGAGGAGCAAAGGCAAGGCGCUAACAAGUGUUAGAACUUGGGAUGACUCUUCAAGUGAAGAUGAACCUCCAAGGACGCGCAGUCACCGGUCCUCAUCACGCUCAUCACGGUCAUCACACAAAUGCCUUAUGGCAAAAGGUAACAAAAGCAUUCCAUCCUCUAGUGAUGAAAGUAGUAGUGAUGAUGAAGGUGAGGGAAAGCCUUCCGUAGAUGAGCUUGCGGAAGCCAUAGAAUUUUUCCAGGAUGUUUGCACUAAGCAAAAAGCUCAACUUAAAACUUUGAAAAUAAGUUGACUAGCUCCCAAAAUGAUUACAAAGGUUUGCUAGAAAAAUUUGAAACUUUUGCAAACUUAAAUGGUGAACUGUCAACUAAAAUUGAGCUAUUAGAGUCUAGUGCUCCAUCCAUUGCUACCGAUGAUGGCCUUAUUAAAAAGAAUGAAAAACUUAAGGCUAAGUUAGCUAGCUCUCAAGAAGCUAUUGAAAACUUGCUAGAGAAAAUGGAAAUUCUUAGCAUACACAAUGAUGAGCUAACUACUAAGCUAGAAAACAUUGGUAGCACCCUAGGAGCAUCUUUAGUUGAAAUUCCUGAAAUUAUUAAGAAAGAUGCUUCUACUUCUUGCUUUGAUUUAAUUGAUGACUCUAACCCCUGCAACCAAGUUCUUGUUGAGAAUAUUGUUGUAGAAACAUGUUCGGACGAGGUUGCAAAGGAAAAUGAACAAUUAAGGCAAGAAGCGGCUCGCCUUGGUAAGGCUUUGUAUGACAAGAAAGGCAAAGCCAAACAAAUCCGACCUCCAAAGGAUAACACCACUACGGGAGUGAACAAGCCUAUGGAGGUAGAAACCGUGAUUUGUAGGCUAUGCCACAAGGAAGGCCACAAAUCUUUCCAAUGCAAGGCGAUGACCGGGGAUAGGCAAAAGCAAAAGCUCAAGCAAAAGCCAACAAGCAAAAUCUCCAACACCUACAUAAAAAAGGUGGACAAAAAGACUGCUACACCAUAUUUGAUCAAGAAGAAAAAGAAUGGAAAGGUGAUAGCAAUCAAGGCCAACAAGCAAGCCAACAAAGAAAAGGGGGGCAAACGCAUCUGGGUGCCAAAGGAAAUAAUUUCAACCAUGAAAAGCACCAAGAAGGUUUGGAUCCCGAAAGGGAAGUGAGUGGACCAAAGGUCAUCGGGAAAUUUGGAGACUUGGCUAAGCUGGGAUGUAUAUCAUGGGAUACAUCAUAUUGGAUCAAGUUUUAUUGCCAAGUGGGUUAGUGAAAAUUUUGGACCCAAAUUUCCCACCCAUGACUAAGGUAACUAGAUUUAUUGUAUUUCUUGUUUUAAGAUAUGCGUAUCUAUUUACUUUGUAUCUAGUUUACUUUUCAUGCCUAGUAUUACAUUUUGGUAUUUACUUUUGUUUAAAUGCAUGCAUACUAGGUAAAUCAUAUGGUAGGAUUGCUUGCUUUCAAUUCAUACUCUUAAGCAAACCUACAUGUCUUAAAAUGUUUAUUUAAGCAUGGCACAUAGCUUCAAUUUCACUCCAUAGUAAAUGAUGCACCAAUUAAUAACUCUCAUUUCUACAAGUUGUAUCAUUUGACUUAUAUGUGCCAAAGUUUGGAUUAUGGAUAAUUUGCCCCUCUUGAUGUCAAAUCAAAAGUGCAUGUCUCCUUCAAGUAUUCAGAAACUUGUAUGUACACCUUUAGGGGGAGGUUACUCUAUAAUCUGACACUUUGAGACUAACACCUUUUCAAGUCUAUUUCAUGUGAUAGUCUCAUUGUAAGGAAAAUAAGGUCCCCAGAGAAAGACAACAAUCUUCCACUGCAAAAUCUCCAAGAACUCUCAUGUCUCUCAAGCUCACCGUUGAAUCUCAAUCGGUAUCUUUUGAGACUACAUCUAGUAUCAGUUACAUGUCUUCUCCAAUAUUUGUCUAGACUGUAUUUCAUAUCAUAUACUUCCAUGUUGCUAAAAAUGCAUAAGCAGUUAUCUCAUACUCUGUUACCUAUGCAUAGAGGAAGUUAGUCUAUUCAAAUCAUGUUUUGCACCUUAAAUUUUUUUCACAUGCUUUUUUCCUAAGUAGAAGAUCUCUGUCAGGGGGAGUAUUUCUUUGUCUCUAAAAAGGGAGAAACGCUCUUUCCAAAAGAGAACACUCAUUUAGGGGGAGUAAUCUUUUGAGGGCAAGCCUUUUAUUUACUUCCUACAUGCUUUCAAUGUCUUCCUUUUCGGUGGUUGAUGCCAAAGGGGGAGAAGUGUAGGGACCAAAGCAACGAAAACUAGAUCAAACACCAAACACCACCAAUUUAAAAUUUUAAUCCCCAAAUGGUUUUUCAAGUGGUUUUGGUUAUUUGGUCCAAAAUAGGAAGUAAGUGAAUUAUGGAGUUAGGGGGAGGCUUAAGUCCAUAAUAUCACUUUGAGGGGACAAUUAUGCAUCCUAGCAAGUAGAUUGCAUAUUUACAUUCAAAUAUUUGUAUUAUUUGCUUGCUUUGGUUGUGUUGUUAUCAAUCACCAAAAAGGGGGAGAUUGUAAGGAAAAUGGACCCCGGGCCAUUUGGCUAAUUGAGUUUUGGUGUUUGAUGAACAACACAAUUCGUGAACUAAUAAGUUCUCUAGUGUUUAUGUUUGUAGUUCACAGGAUGCGUUGAGGAUUGGACCAAGGAAAUGAGGAUGCAACACCUCAAAAGAAGUCAUAAAAAGAUGCAUAGAAUUCCAAGACUCAAGAACAAAAGAAGCCCAAAGAAAUCAGCGAAGAAACCUGAGAAGAGGGCUGUCAGCCAGCG
rnacentral:lncRNA from 1 species